rnacentral:tRNA from 1 species
AGGAAUGUAGUUUAAUUGGUAAAACACCAGAUUUUGAAUCUGGGGACUGAUAAAGCAAGUGUAGGUUUGAGUCCUACCAUUCCUGCCA